UGAGUAACACGCGAGUGACCUGCCUUUUAGACUGGAACAACUUACCGAAAGGUGAGCUAAUGCCGGAUGAGUUAUAUAAGUGCAUGUUUAUAUAGGAAAAGUUGGGGAGACCUGACGCUGAAAGAUGGACUCGCGUCCCAUUAGCUAGUUGGUAGGGUAAUGGCCUACCAAGGCGACGAUGGGUAGCCGGCCUGAGAGGGUGGCCGGCCACACUGGGACUGAGACACGGCCCAGACUCCUACGGAAGGCAGCAG
rnacentral:rRNA from 1 species